rnacentral:rRNA from 1 species
ACGGGAGGCAGCAGUCGGGAAUAUUGCGCAAUGGAGGAAACUCUGACGCAGUGACGCCGCGUAUAGGACGAAGGUCUUCGGAUUGUAAACUAUUGUCGUUAGGGAAGAGAAAGGACAGUACCUAAGGAGGGAGCUCCGGCUAACUACGUGCCAGCAGCCGCGGUAAUACGUAGGGAGCGAGCGUUAUCCGGAUUUAUUGGGUGUAAAGGGUGCGUAGACGGGAAAUUAAGUUAGUUGUGAAAUCCCUCGGCUUAACUGAGGAACUGCAACUAAAACUGGUUUUCUUGAGUAUUGGAGAGGAAAGCGGAAUUCCUAGUGUAGCGGUGAAAUGCGUAGAUAUUAGGAGGAACACCAGUGGCGAAGGCGGCUUUCUGGACAAAAACUGACGUUGAGGCACGAAAGUGUGGGGAGCAAACAGGAUUAGAUACCCUGGUA